CGAUUAUAUCACUUUGAAAUACCGGCUCCCGUACGAUCACCGAAGUUAAGCAACGUUGAGCCUUGUCAGUACCUAUAUGGGUCAACGCUUGAGAUUUCCAGGUGCUGUU